AUGAACGCUGGCGGCAUGCCUCACACCUGCAAGUCGAUCGGUAAGGCUCUUCGGAGUACACGAGAGGCGGACGGCUGAGUAACGCGUAGGAACACACCCUGCAGUGAGGGAUAAGACACCGAAAGGUGUUCUAAUACCGCAUACGGUCUUCGGAUUAAAGCAUUUAUGCGCUGAAGGAGUGGCCUGCGUCAUAUUAGAUAGUUGGUGAGGUAAUGGCUCACCAAGUCGAUGAUGUGUAGCUGGUCUGAGAGGAUGAUCAGCCAGACUGGAACUGAGACACGGUCCAGACUCCUACGGGAGGCAGCAGUGAGGAAUAUUUCACAAUGAGCGAAAGCUUGAUGGAGCAAUGCCGCGUGCAGGAUGAAGGCCCUCGGGUUGUAAACUGCUUUUAUAAGAGAAGAUUAUGACGGUAACUUAUGAAUAAGGGACGGCUAACUACGUG
rnacentral:rRNA from 1 species